CUCUUAGAUGUUCUGGGCCGCACGCGCGCUACACUGACGAAGUCAGCGAGCAUGUCCUACGCCGACAGGUGCGGGGAAUCUUGUCAAACUUCGUCGUGAUGGGGAUUGAUUAUUGAAAUUCUUGAUCAUCAACGAGGAAUUCCUAGUAAGCGCAAGUCAGCAGCUUGCGUUGAUUACGUCCCUGCCCUUUGUACACACCGCCCGUCGCUACUACCGAUUGAAUGGUUUAGUGAGAUCUUCGGAUUGGCGCCACUGCGGCUCAGCAAUGGGCUCGGUGGAUGCCGAAAAGUUGAUCAAACUUGAUCAUUUAGAGGAAGUAAAAGUCGUAACA
rnacentral:rRNA from 1 species